rnacentral:rRNA from 1 species
AGUCUGGUGCCAGCAGCCGCGGUAAUUCCAGCUCCAAUAGCGUAUAUUAAAGUUGUUGCAGUUAAGAAGCUCGUAGUUGAAUUUCUGCCUUAUCAUUAAUUUCGCUUAUUAACGUAAAUUUUAUUGAUUUGGCAUCCUCUAAUAUUAUAUAUAUUUUAUAUAUAUUUUAUUAGUAUUUACUUUGAGAAAACUAGAGUGUUUCAAACAGGCAUAUGCCUUGAAUACUAUAGCAUGGAAUAAUGAAGUAGGACUUUGGUUCUAUUUUGUUGGUUAUUGAACCAUAGUAAUGGUUAAUAGGAGCAGUUGGGGGCAUUCGUAUUUAACUGUCAGAGGUGAAAUUCUUAGAUUUGUUAAAGACGAACUACUGCGAAAGCAUUUGCCAAGGAUGUUUUCAUUAAUCAAGAACGAAAGUUAGGGGAUCGAAGACGAUCAGAUACCGU